GAUGAACGCUGGCGGCGUGCCUAAUACAUGCAAGUCGAGCGAACGGACGAGAAGCUUGCUUUUCUGAUGUUAGCGGCGGACGGGUGAGUAACACGUGGAUAACCUACCUAUAAGACUGGGAUAACUUCGGGAAACCGGAGCUAAUACCGGAUAAUAUUUUGAACCGCAUGGUUCAAAAGUGAAAGACGGUCUUGCUGUCACUUAUAGAUGGAUCCGCGCUGCAUUAGCUAGUUGGUAAGGUAACGGCUUACCAAGGCAACGAUGCAUAGCCGACCUGAGAGGGUGAUCGGCCGCACUGGAACUGGAACACGGUCCAGACUCCUACGGGAGGCAGCAGUAGGGAAUCUUACGCAAUGGGCGGAAGCCUGGCGGAGCGACGCCGCGUGAGUGAUGAAGGUCUUCGGAUCGUAAAACUCUGUUAUUAGGGAAGAACAUAUGUGUAAGUAACUGUGCACAUCGUGACGGUACCUAAUCAGAAAGCCACGGCUAACUACGUG
rnacentral:rRNA from 1 species